rnacentral:rRNA from 1 species
CCUGGCUCAGGAUGAACGCUAGCUACAGGCUUAACACAUGCAAGUCGAGGGGCAGCAUGAAGUCAGCUUGCUGACUUGAUGGCGACCGGCGCACGGGUGCGUAACACGUAUCCAAUCUACCCAUGGCUCAGGGAUAGCCUUUCGAAAGAAAGAUUAAUACCUGAUGGCCUUACAUGGAGACAUCUCCUAGUAAGUAAAGAUUUAUCGGCGAUGGAUGAGGAUGCGUCUGAUUAGAUAGUAGGCGGGGUAACGGCCCACCUAGUCGACGAUCAGUAGGGGUUCUGAGAGGAAGGUCCCCCACAUUGGAACUGAGACACGGUCCAAACUCCUACGGGAGGCAGCAGUGAGGAAUAUUGGUCAAUGGACGAGAGUCUGAACCAGCCAAGUAGCGUGAAGGACGACUGCCCUAUGGGUUGUAAACUUCUUUUGUUUGGGAAUAAAGUGGGCCACGUGUGGCCUUUUGUAUGUACCAUACGAAUAAGCAUCGGCUAAUUCCGUGCCAGCAGCCGC